rnacentral:rRNA from 1 species
CGCGUGGAGGAUGACACUUUUCGGAGCGUAAACUCCUUUUGUUAGGGAAGAACAAUGACGGUACCUAACGAAUAAGCACCGGCUAACUCCGUGCCAGCAGCCGCGGUAAUACGGAGGGUGCAAGCGUUACUCGGAAUCACUGGGCGUAAAGGACGCGUAGGCGGAUUAUCAAGUCUCUUGUGAAAUCCUAUGGCUUAACCAUAGAACUGCUUGGGAAACUGAUAAUCUAGAGUGAGGGAGAGGCAGAUGGAAUUGGUGGUGUAGGGGUAAAAUCCGUAGAGAUCACCAGGAAUACCCAUUGCGAAGGCGAUCUGCUGGAACUCAACUGACGCUAAUGCGUGAAAGCGUGGGGAGCAAACAGGAUUAGAUACCCUGGUAGUCCACGCCCUAAACGAUGUAUACUAGUUGUUGCUAAGCUAGUCUUGGCAGUAAUGCACCUAACGGAUUAAGUAUACCGCCUGGGGAGUACGGUCGCAAGAUUAAAACUCAAAGGAAUAGACGGGGACCCGCACAAGCGGUGGAGCAUGUGGUUUAAUUCGAAGAUACGCGAAGAACCUUACCCGGACUUGAUAUCUAACAAAUCAUCUAGAGAUAGAAGAGUGUCUGCUUGCAGAAAUGUUAAGACAGGUGCUGCACGGCUGUCGUCAGCUCGUGUCGUGAGAUGUUGGGUUAAGUCCCGCAACGAGCGCAACCCACGUCAUUAGUUGCUAACAGUUCGGCUGAGCACUCUAAUGAGACUGCCUUCGUAAGGAGGAGGAAGGUGUGGACGACGUCAAGUCAUCAUGGCCCUUAUGUCCGGGGCGACACACGUGCUACAAUGGCAUAUACAAUGAGAAGCAAUAUCGCGAGAUGGAGCAAAUCUAUAAAAUAUGUCCCAGUUCGGAUUGGAGUCUGCAACUCGACUCCAUGAAGCCGGAAUCGCUAGUAAUCGUAGAUCAGCCAUGCUACGGUGAAUACGUUCCCGGGUCUUGUACUCACCGCCCGUCACACCAUGGGAGUUGAUUUCACUCGAAGCC